rnacentral:rRNA from 1 species
CCUACGGGAGGCAGCAGUGGGGAAUAUUGGACAAUGGGCGCAAGCCUGAUCCAGCAAUGCCGCGUGAGUGAUGAAGGCCUUAGGGUCGUAAAGCUCUUUUACCAGGGAUGAUAAUGACAGUACCUGGAGAAUAAGCUCCGGCUAACUCCGUGCCAGCAGCCGCGGUAAUACGGAGGGAGCUAGCGUUGUUCGGAAUUACUGGGCGUAAAGCGUACGUAGGCGGUUAUUCAAGUCAGAGGUGAAAGCCCGGGGCUCAACCCCGGAACGGCCUUUGAAACUAGGUAGCUAGAAUCUUGGAGAGGUCAGUGGAAUUCCGAGUGUAGAGGUGAAAUUCGUAGAUAUUCGGAAGAACACCAGUGGCGAAGGCGACUGACUGGACAAGUAUUGACGCUGAGGUACGAAAGCGUGGGGAGCAAACAGGAUUAGAUACCCUGGUAGUCCACGCCGUAAACGAUGAUAACUAGCUGUUCGGGCACUUGGUGCUUGAGUGGCGCAGCUAACGCAUUAAGUUAUCCGCCUGGGGAGUACGGUCGCAAGAUUAAAACUUAAAGGAAUUGACGG